rnacentral:rRNA from 1 species
AUGGCUCAGGAUGAACGCUAGCGGCAGGCUUAACACAUGCAAGUCGAGGGGCAUCGGGAGUAGCAAUACUGCCGGCGACCGGCGCAAGGGUGCGUAACGCGUGAGCAACAUGCCCGUAUCAGGGGGAUAAUCCAUGGAAACGUGGUCUAAUACCCCAUAGUAAUUAUGUAAGGCAUCUUAUAUAAUUUAAAGCUUUGGUGGAUACGGAUUGGCUCGCGUGACAUUAGCUAGAUGGUAAGGUAACGGCUUACCAUGGCUACGAUGUCUAGGGGUUCUGAGAGGAAGGUCCCCCCACACUGGAACUGAGACACGGUCCAGACUCCUACGGGAGGCAGCAGUGAGGAAUAUUGGACAAUGGAUGGAAAUCUGAUCCAGCCAUGCCGCGUGCAGGAAAGACGGCCCUAUGGGUUGUAAACUGCUUUUGUAUGGGAGCAAUAAGGGCUACGCGUAGUCCGAUGAGAGUACCAUACGAAUAAGCACCGGCUAACUCCGUGCCAGCCGCUGC